rnacentral:rRNA from 1 species
CGCGAAGAACCUUACCAAAUCUUGACAUCCUUUGACAACUCUAGAGAUAGAGCUUUCCCCUUCGGGGGACAAAGUGACAGGUGGUGCAUGGUUGUCGUCAGCUCGUGUCGUGAGAUGUUGGGUUAAGUCCCGCAACGAGCGCAACCCUUAUCUUUAGUUGCCAUCAUUAGGUUGGGCACUCUAGAGAGACUGCCGGUGACAAACCGGAGGAAGGUGGGGAUGACGUCAAAUCAUCAUGCCCCUUAUGAUUUGGGCUACACACGUGCUACAAUGGAUGGUACAAAGGGCAGCAAAACCGCGAGGUCAAGCAAAUCCCAUAAAACCAUUCUCAGUUCGGAUUGUAGUCUGCAACUCGACUACAUGAAGCUGGAAUCGCUAGUAAUCGUAGAUCAGCAUGCUACGGUGAAUACGUUCCCGGGUCUUGUACACACC